AAAGCUUCCCACACCAAUCAAAUUCUCCACAGAGAACCCAUUUGUUGCCUUGAAAAUCCUUCUAUAUGAAAAUUGCUGCGAUGACUUUUCUAGGGAGGAACUAGGAGAUUCCUCUCUUUUCUUAUGUCUGAACCAGUAACACAAAAAGGCUGACAUGAUGGUCACAACAAAAACACAUGAUAUUACUAUUGCAAUUGUUUUAACAAGAUGUAACUUGCUUCGCUUUGAUACAUGAUUGAUGCAUCUUGACAGUUUGAGUUCUGGUAUAUCCCCACAAAGCCUGUUGUUACCUUCAAUUGAUAUUGCACUUGCAUUUGCAAAAACACCUUUGCUAGGAACCUCGCCCUCCAAAUUAUUGAAAGACAAAUUCAGAUAUUCUAGCUUAAAGUUCACAAAGUACUCUGGAAUUUUGCCAGAUAUAUUAUUUGCGGACAAAUCUAAACGUCUAAGACCUUUUAAGGAUUCAAAUGAUGUGGGUAUGGUACCUUGAAAAUUGUUAUCAUCCAUGACAAGAUAUUCAAGGCUAUUACACUUUCCAAGGUCAUACGGAAUACUGCCAGACAAGUUGUUUUGGAAAAUAACCAAUUCAUUCAAAUGUAGUAAAUUGCCAAUUUGAGAAGGAAGGGAUCCAACCAAAUGAUUUUGAGAAAAAUCUAUUGAAACUAGCACAUUCGGGACAGCAAAAAGUUGGUUGGAUAUGGGGCCAUUGAGAUUGUUUUGAGAAAGGUCGAUGAAUAGCAAGUUUUGGCAAUUUCCAAGGCUAGAAGGAAUGGUACCUUGCAGUUUGUUACCUUGCAAAUGAAGUAGGGUCAAUAACGAUAAGUUUCCCAAGGAUGAAGGAAUCUUUCCGGAUAGUCUAUUGUGGCCAAGAAACAUUUGUUGCAAUUUUUGAAGCUUACCAAAUUCCAUGGGAAUAGUGCCCGUGAUUUGAGUCUCUUCUAUACCCAUCACCGAUAAACUAUCAAGAGUUGAAAACCAUGGAGGGAUA
rnacentral:misc_RNA from 1 species